CCUACGGGUGGCAGCAGUGGGGAAUAUUGGUCAAUGGGCGCAAGCCUGACCCAGCAACGCCGCGUGAAGGAAGAAUGCUUUCUGGUUGUAAACUUCUUUUAAUGUGGAAGAGCAGAAGACGGUACCCCUUGAAUAAGCCACGGCUAACUACUUGCCAGCAGCCGCGGUAAUACGUAGGUGGCAAGCGUUGUCCGGAUUUACUGGGUGUAAAGGGCGUGUAGCCGGAGAGACAAGUCAGAUGUGAAAUCCACGGGCUCAACCCGUGAACUGCAUUUGAAACUGUUUGCCUUGAGUUUCGGAGAGGUGAUCGGAAUUCCUGGUGUAGCGGUGAAAUGCGUAGAUAUAAGGAAGAACACCAGUGGCGAAGGCGGAUUACUGGACGAUAACUGACGGUGAGGCGCGAAAGCGUGGGGAGCAAACAGGAUUAGAUACCCCAGUAGUC
rnacentral:rRNA from 1 species